rnacentral:tRNA from 6 species
UGGGGUAUCGCCAAGCGGUAAGGCACCGGUUUUUGAUACCGGCAUUCCCUGGUUCGAAUCCAGGUACCCCAGCCC